rnacentral:rRNA from 1 species
UCGAUUGAGUUUGAUCAUGGCUCAGAGUGAACGCUGGCGGCAGGCCUAACACAUGCAAGUCGAACGGCAGCACAGAGGAGCUUGCUCCUUGGGUGGCGAGUGGCGGACGGGUGAGGAAUACAUGGGAAUCUGCCCAAUCGUGGGGGAUAACGUAGGGAAACUUACGCUAAUACCGCAUACGACCUUCGGGUGAAAGCGUGGGACCGCAAGGCCACGCGCGAUUGGAUGAGCCCAUGUCGGAUUAGCUUGUUGGUGGGGUAAAGGCCCACCAAGGCGACGAUCCGUAGCUGGUCUGAGAGGAUGAUCAGCCACACUGGAACUGAGACACGGUCCAGACUCCUACGGGAGGCAGCAGUGGGGAAUAUUGGACAAUGGGCGCAAGCCUGAUCCAGCCAUGCCGCGUGUGUGAAGAAGGCCUUCGGGUUGUAAAGCACUUUUGUCCGGAAAGAAAAGCUCUCGGUUAAUAGUCGAGUGUUCUGACGGUACCGGAAGAAUAAGCACCGGCUAACUUCGUGCCAGCAGCCGCGGUAAUACGAAGGGUGCAAGCGUUACUCGGAAUUACUGGGCGUAAAGCGUGCGUAGGUGGUUUGUUAAGUCUGAUGUGAAAGCCCUGGGCUCAACCUGGGAAUUGCAUUGGAUACUGGCAGGCUAGAGUGCGGUAGAGGAUGGCGGAAUUCCCGGGUGUAGCAGUGAAAUGCGUAGAGAUCGGGAGGAACAUCUGUGGCGAAGGCGG